AUCCAGCUGACAAAUCCCAUACAGGACGAAACGCGCAUCUUGGAU
rnacentral:hammerhead_ribozyme from 1 species